AUUAGAGUUUGAUCCUGGCUCAGGAUGAACGCUGGCGGCGUGCCUAACACAUGCAAGUCGAACGGAACUUACAAGCGGAAGUUUUCGGAUGGAAGCUUAUAAGUUUAGUGGCGGACGGGUGAGUAACGCGUGAGCAAUCUACCUCUCAGUGGGGGAUAACACAUCGAAAGGUGUGCUAAUACCGCAUAAUAUAACGGGAUCGCAUGGUUCUGUUAUCAAAGAUAUAUUGCUGAGAGAUGAGCUCGCGUCUGAUUAGAUAGUUGGUGAGGUAAAGGCCCACCAAGUCGACGAUCAGUAGCCGGACUGAGAGGUUGAACGGCCACAUUGGGACUGAGACACGGCCCAGACUCCUACGGGAGGCAGCAGUGGGGAAUAUUGCACAAUGGGGGAAACCCUGAUGCAGCAACGCCGCGUGAAGGAUGAAGGUUUUCGGAUUGUAAACUUCUUUUGUACGGGACGAAACAAAUGACGGUACCGUAAGAAUAAGCCACGGCUAACUACGUGCCAGCAGCCGCGGUAAUAAU
rnacentral:rRNA from 1 species